GACGGAGGGUGCUAGCGUUGUUCGGAAUCACUGGGCUUAAAGGGCGCGUAGGCGGCCUUGCAAGUCGGUUGGUGAAAGCCCGGGGCUCAACCCCGGAGGUGCGGCCGAGACUGCAGGGCUGGAGGCCGGAAGAGGAGGGUGGAAUACCCAGUGUAGAGGUGAAAUUCGUAGAUAUUGGGUGGAACACCGGUGGCGAAAGCGGCUCUCUGGUCCGGACCUGACGCUGAGGCGCGAAAGCGUGGGGAGCAAACAGG
rnacentral:rRNA from 1 species